rnacentral:rRNA from 1 species
UCGACCGCCUGGGGAGUACGGCCGCAAGGUUAAAACUCAAAUGAAUUGACGGGGGCCCGCACAAGCGGUGGAGCAUGUGGUUUAAUUCGAUGCAACGCGAAGAACCUUACCUACUCUUGACAUCCGAGACAGGUGCUGCAUGGCUGUCGUCAGCUCGUGUUGUGAAAUGUUGGGUUAAGUCCCGCAACGAGCGCAACCCUUAUCCUUUGUUGCCAGCACUUCGGGUGGGAACUCAAAGGAGACUGCCAGUGAUAAACUGGAGGAAGGUGGGGAUGACGUCAAGUCAUCAUGGCCCUUACGAGUAGGGCUACACACGUGCUACAAUGGUGCAUACAGAGGGAAGCGAGCCUGCGAGAGCAAGCGGACCUCAUAAAGUGCGUCGUAGUCCGGAUUGGAGUCUGCAACUCGACUCCAUGAAGUCGGAAUCGCUAGUAAUCGUGGAUCAGAAUGCCA